rnacentral:rRNA from 1 species
GACAGAGGGGGCAAGCGUUGCUCGGAAUUACUGGGCGUAAAGGGCGCGUAGGCGGGAUGGCAAGUCGGUCGUGAAAUCCCUCGGCUCAACCGAGGAACGUCGAUCGAUACUGCUGUUCUUGAGGAUUGCAGAGGAGACUGGAAUUCCCGGUGUAGCGGUGAAAUGUGUAGAGAUCGGGAGGAACACCGGUGGCGAAGGCAAUCCCCUGGACCUGUACUGACGCUCAUGCACGAAAGCGUGGGGAGCAAACAGG